rnacentral:rRNA from 1 species
UACGUAGGGGGCAAGCGUUGUCCGGAUUCAUUGGGCGUAAAGAGCUCGUAGGCGGUUCAGCAAGUCGGGUGUGAAACCUCCAGGCUCAACCUGGAGACGCCACCCGAUACUGCUGUGACUUGAGUCCGGUAGGGGACCACGGAAUUCCUGGUGUAGCGGUGAAAUGCGCAGAUAUCAGGAGGGACACCGGUGGCGAAGGCGGUGGUCUGGGCCGGAACUGACGCUGAGGAGCGAAAGCGUGGGGAGCGAACAGG